rnacentral:SRP_RNA from 1 species
GCUGGGCGUGAUGGUUCAUGCCUGUAGUCCCAGCUACUUGGGAGGCUGAGGCAGGAGAAUUGCUUGAACCUGGGAGGCGGAGGUUGCAGUGAGCUGAGAUCAUGCCACUGCACUCCAGCCUGGGUGAAAAAGCGAGACUCUGUCUCAA